AGGCCGAAACGCGGGUUCGAACCAGGGAGGUUCAAAUUUUCAGUCUAAGGCUUUCGCAACUGAGCUAUUCUGCC